UGUUUGACGCCCAAGACAUUCUUCAAAUUGACUGCAAUACUCAUCUAUUGUUCCCGUGUGUCUCAAGUUGCAUAUUUCGCCCACCGGGUUUACUGCAUCAGCAUUCCCAAAACAGAUCUUACAGAUCCUUUUGAAUUCAGCCCAUUCCAGUCGAUGUGUGACCAACUGCCUCAAAUUGUUGUUCCAAUGGUAAGCUUGUCCUG
rnacentral:lncRNA from 1 species